rnacentral:lncRNA from 1 species
UGUCUAUCCUGUUACCGAUAUCAGUAUUGCACCUGCAAAUGCUUAAUUGGGAAGAUUAAGACGUUAUAACCUUAAGAUGAGUUCAAACAAUGAAAUAUUUUAUUCGUUUUCCACCUACAUGUUAAGAUAAAAAAAUUAACGACGUUUUUGUCUAUAAUUGUCUAUCCUGUUACUGUAACCAUAGCAACCAUAGUAACAGGAUAGACAAAUUUCUUCGUUUUUGAUUGCUGUUGUG